CCUACGGGUGGCAGCAGUGAGGAAUAUUGGUCAAUGGACGAGAGUCUGAACCAGCCAAGUAGCGUGAAGGAUGACUGCCCUAUGGGUUGUAAACUUCUUUUAUAAAGGAAUAAAACGUGGCACGUGUGACUGUUUGCAUGUACUUUAUUACUAAGGAUCGGCUAACUCCGUGCCAGCAGCCGCGGUACUACGGAGGAUCCGAGCGUUAUGCGGAUUUAUUGGGUUGAAAGGGAGCGUAGAUGGGUUGUUAAGUCAGUUGUGAAAGUUUGCGGCUCAACCGUAAAAUUGCAAUUGAUACUGGCAGUCUUGAGUACAGUUGAGGUAGGCAGAAUUCGUGGUGUAGCGGUGAAAUGCUUAGAUAUCACGAAGAACCCCGAUUGCGAAGGCAGCUUACUAAACUGUGACUGACAUUGAUGCUCGAAAGUGUGGGUAUCAAACAGGAUUAGAUACCCUUGUAGUC
rnacentral:rRNA from 1 species